UCCGUCAUUGUCUAAUGGCUAUGAUAUAUCGCUCUCACCGAUAAGGUCGGGGUUCGAUUCCCCGUGACGGAA
rfam:Sistotremastrum niveocremeum HHB9708 unplaced genomic scaffold SISNIscaffold_15, whole genome shotgun sequence.